rnacentral:lncRNA from 1 species
UGCUUUCUCUUACCAUUUCCUUUGUGUUUGAACUUCUUUUGUCAAUCUUUAAAUGUAGGCUUGCUAGCAACUAAUUCUUUUCGUUUCCUUCAUCUGACAAUAUCUUUAUUUCCUCUUCAUUUCUAAAGGAGAGUUUCACUGAAUAUAGAAUGCAUGGUUGAUUUUUAUUUUCUUUCUGUCCUUGGAAAAUGUUGCAUAGCUUCCUUCUGGCCUUUAUGGUUUCAUAGGAAAAAUCCACUGUCAUUCCAAUUGGUGUGCUCCUAUUCCUAUUCAGAAUCCAUCAUUUCUCUGUGGCUGCCUACAGGUUGUCUUUAGUUUUCAGAAGUUUAAUUACAAUAUUUCUUGGCAUGGAUUUUGGUUGUGGUUGUUGAUCCUGUUUGGAGUUCACUUGGCUUCUUGAUGUAUACAUGUCUUUUUGCUAUAUUUGGGGAAUUUUUAUCCAUUAAUCUUCAAAUAUUCUAUAGCCUCUCUCUUCUCCUUUGGGCACACCAGUGAUACAAAUGUUGGAUCUUUUGUUAGUGUCCUACAGGUUCUUGUGGGUGUUCUUUUUCUUUUUUUUAGUUUAUUUUCUCUGUGUUAUUCAGAUUGAGUGAAUUACAUUGUCGCCACAGUCACUGAUUCUAUCCUGCCAUUUCCACUAGUCUACUACUGAAUCCAUCUAGUAAGAUUCCUUCACUUCUGUUAUUAUACCUUUUAGCCCUGUAAUUUCCAUUUGGUUCUUCUUCAUCACUUCUAUUUCUUUACUGUGGCUUUCUAUUUUUUCAUUUCUUCAACAGAUUUGCCUCUUGAAGCAUUUUUAUGAUGGCUGUUUUCAGAUCCUUGCCAGAUAACUCCAGCAGUUGGUUCAUCUUGACGUUGGCAUUCAUUGUCUUUCUCAUUCAUGCUGCACAUUUCUUGGUACUUGGUAUGAAAGGAAUUUUCUAUUGUAUCCCAUUUUACCUAUUAGGGAAUUCUGGGUCUUAUUUAAAUAUUUAAUUUUAGCAGGUAAUUGCCCUGAUUCUGCUUAGGGAGCAGGGCCUGGCCUGAUUUGUGGCCUGUGGUCCCACUGACAGUUUAAUCGUCAGAGCCUUUCAGCGUUAUGUUAGUCUGCUUGGUUUAUCAGGUACCUCUGGGGUCCCUGCUGACGUUACCUGAGGGACAGAAGGGGUGUCUCUCAGUGGGAGAGGGAAGCUGCCAGCACACAGCUAUGAAACCUUCCUGGCCUGGUGUGUGUUCUGGUGGGUCCCCUGCCUGUGGGAGAUGGAGUGUGCUUCCCAGGUGGGGCUAAGGGGGAUCCUGCUGUUUUCUCCAGCCCCCCAACCCUGGACUCUCUGAGAUGGGACAGAGAGGCUCCCUCGGCCAGAUCAAUCAUUGCAGUGGAGUCCCUUUUGCUGUUUCCUCUUCCUGGUCAUCUGGCUUGGUGAUAGGCUCUUGGUGACCUAUUUGUUCUGUUGCCUCAGUAGGUAAGGCCCAGGUACUCAUUAGGUAACAGAUUGCUGAGAGAUGAAUGGGGGACCCAUAACAUCCUCCUGCAGCAAGUGGCAGGGGCCUGUCCAGCUGAGGUCUCAUGGCCACUGGGUCUCUCCAACAGUCCCCAGGGCUGGCUCUGGUCGGGGACCUAGGCACAUGUGCACACUGUACGGAGCCCAGUAAUUGUGACAAGUAUGGUGUUCUUGGGAAGCACACUCCCUAAGCCGCAGUGAAAUCAAUGCCCUGUCCACCUUUCCACCUUGUGACAUUGGUCAAAGGUCUGGGCAAUGACUGGCUUCAAAGACUCAAUGGGAGCUUCCUGUUGGACAAGAUUUAAUCUGCCACCACCUGCCCUCUCUUCUGCUCCAAAGCAGUAGUACCGGGACCAUUUCAAGUUCACUCUCCCAACAUAGCUGGGGUGAAAUAUCUCUGUGUCUCCUCAGAGUGGAAAGCUACAGUCUCUGGGGGCUGACCACGCAGGCAGAAAACUGUGCACAGGGUGGCAGCUAACUGCCAUCUUUAUCUGUCCAUAACCAAAUGAGCCCAAAGCAUUGCUUCUUUUCUGGUUUGGAUCUGAGGGAGUGAGGUUAGAUGGGGUCCUGUGUCCCAUCACCUGACUCAGGAGGGAGGGGACAGGCCCAAGAGGGCAGAGUCCGUAGAAAAGGGCAAACUCCCUUAAGGUGGGGAGGGAGGAGCCUUGGCUGGGGGAACAGAAGAGGCAGGUGACACUGGCUGUCUCCAGCAUCUGUUGAUGUGUAAGUGAAUCCACCAGUCUCAAUAUUCACUUUUAGUGCCCACUUCAAUAGACACUGGGAGGUCCUUCAGGAGCUGGCCCACUUCAGGGGUGUGUUUCUGCAGCCAGUGUGUGUGUAGGGGUAUUCAUAGCAACAUCGAAAACAUGUCAGGACCCAUUAUCAACACUGCAUUGUGGUUAAUCUUCAAAGAUCUUUGAAUAUAACAUUUCAAAGGUCUCUGGGCAGAAAUCUUAAUAUAUUCCUGACAGCAAAACAUUUGUGAUUUUAUAACUGAAUCCACUGAUUUGUAAACACACAGACACACAUUCAUGAACGAGCACACACGCAGACGCACAGACACAUGUGGACAAAGAUACAUCUGUGCAAGCACAUGCACACAUUUGCAGAGACACAUACACAAAAGUGCACACAUGCACACGCAUACACACAUGUGCAAACACACACAAACAUACUUCAGGGUACACAAAUACCGUCUCACGGAGGCUUACCAAGUUCAUAAUUUUAUUAUACUCUGAAUAGAGAUGAUAUUUAAGGAGCAGAGAAAAUGACUAUACAAAA